GAUGAAGAACGCAGCGAAAUGCGAUACGUAGUGUGAGUUGCAGAAUUCAGUGAAUCAUCGAAUCUUUGAACGCACAUUGCACCUCUCGGUAUUCCGGGAGGUAUGCCUGUUCGAGCGUCAUUUGUACCCUCAAGCUCUGCUUGGUGUUGGGUGUUUGUUCCGCCUCUGUGUGUGAACUCGCCUCAAAACAAUUGGCAGCCGGCGUACUUGUUUCGGAGCGCAGCACAUUUUGCGAUCCAGAUCAACGUACAGCGGCAUCCAAGAAGCCUUAUUUAACGCUCUUGACCUCGGAUCAGGUAGGGAUACCCGCUGAACUUAAGCAUAUCAAUAAGCGGAGGA
rnacentral:misc_RNA from 1 species